AUCAUGGUGACCACGGCAAUCAGAGUUUGAUUCCAGAGAGGGAGCUUGAGAGACGGCUACUACAUCCAAGGAAGGCAGCAGGCAUUGAAAUUGCGCACUCCUGACUCAGGGAUGUAGUCAUGGCAUAUCACGAUACAGGACUCUUCCAAGGCCCAGUAAUUUGAAAGAGUACACUUCUAGUCCUUUAACGGGAGUCCACUGGAGUGUCGGGCCCAGGCUCUGAGAGCCACAGGGGCUAAGACGUGAGGAGUAGGAGGGCUGCUGUGGUGCGCACCCAAGCCAAGGGCAAGGGCCGAGGUGGAGGCACUGCAAGUGCAGUUCUUGGUGGUAGCAGCAAAUAUUCAAACAAGAACUUGGAAGGAUAAAGUGGAGUAUGGUUCCAUGAGCACAACAGUUGGACAUGGGUCAGUCGGUCCUAACAGAUGGCGAGUGUUGUUUGGAAGGGACGGACAGCAGCCUCCACUGCUCUCAGCCGAUUGAAAGUGAGUCAGGUUCAGAUGUCAGAACCCGGAGUGGAAUCCAAGUGAUUUGACCGUAUGAAAAAUUAUCGAGGCUGAAAUAUCCGAAAACAAAGUGCUCUAAUGACCAAAAGUUCGAACACUUUGUUUUCGGGCAUUUCAGCCCCGAUAAUUUGUUAAAACACACAUUCUCUCACACACACACAACACACCCAUGACACCCCCCCACACCCCACGCAUACCCCUCCCACACCACCAACAUAAAGAAACCCCACUUACCUUCACCUUCACGCUGGUUCCUGCAGCGCCAGUUCCCUUUCACUUCUGUGAUUGGGAACUGGCGCUGCAGGGUCCUUUUCUUUUCUUUUCUUGUUUUUUUUUUUAUUCACAGACGGCUGCAGGGGUGUCCCCCGCAUCCCCACAGACGCCAUUUUUUUUUUUUUUUUCCACGGGCGGUGGCAGGGGUGUCCCCCGCAGCCCCCGCUCACUAUACCAUAAAGUAUAGUGAGCGGGGCAAUGCGGGGGACACCCCAGCAGCCCCCGUUUUUUUUUAAUGCUACCACCAGAGGAUCGAACUUUUGGUGUUAGAUCCUUUGGUGGUAGCAUUUUUAGAACUUUUGCUCGUUUCGACCUUUUUUUUUCAGUCAUUUCGACCUAAACCCCGGAGUGGGGUAGACAGGUCCCCUCAUGGCAUCCAUUGAAGUAACACAAACGAUCUGGGAGAAGCCAGAAGGAGCACCAUGGAGAGUUCUCUUUUCCUUAUGAAGGGCAGGGCACCCUGGAAUGGGUUUGCCCCAAGAGGGGGGCCUUAGUCUUGGUAAGCUUUGCGGUGCUGGAGGCAUCUACUGAGCUCUCGCUGCUCCUUGGGGGAUGAAGGUGUAAACCUCAUACCAGACCAUACCCAUCUCCACAGCUGGCCUCCGAGGUGAACAGCCUCUGGCAUGUUGGAACAAUGUUGGUAAGGGAGGUUGGCAAUUUGUAUCCAGAACUUUGGCAUGAGGAUUGGCUCUAAUCGCAGGGUCGGGUAGGCUGUCGUGCAAAGCGGGGCUGGGCAUGCACCAAGUCCGGAUGAGGCGCCUCAAUCCUAGGGGUGGAGCCAUCUUUGGAUAAUAGCUGAGCCCUUCCUGUGGAUCGCCCCAGCCGUGGUGGUGGACUCUGUGUGUUCUCGUCUGGUGUCGUGCCUCGGCCAAUGCCUAGCAGUGUUCCAGGUGAAUAUGGCUGUUUAAGUUCAACAAAGCAAUGCGAAAGACUGCAGCAGGUGUUGACGCAAUGUGAUUUCUGCCCAGUGCUAUGUUUAUCAAAGUGUAGUGAUUCAAUGAAGCGCGCGUAAACAGCAGGACUAACUAUGAAUCUCUUAAGGUAGCCAAAUGCCUCGUCAUCUAAUAGUGACACACAUGAAUGAAUGAUUGUGAUUCACACUGUCCCUACCUACUAUAUAGCAAAACCACAUCCAAGGCCACAGGCUUGGCAGAAUCAGCAGGGAAAUGGGACCCUGUUGAGCAUGACCCUAGUCUGGCACUGUGAAGAGACGUGAGAGGCAUGGGAUAAUUGGGCAGUCCUCAGACCACCAGUGAAAUACCACCACUCAAAUUGCUUAUUUCACUAAGGGCGGGGGUCAACCCCUGUGGAGCUCUCACUUUGGCCUGCUAGCACUCGUCAUCCUGCUUGGGGGACAGUGGCAGGUGGGGAGUGUGACUGGAGUGGUACACCUGUCAAAUAAUUAUGCAGUUAUCCUAAGGCAAGCUCAUGGAGGACUGAAACCUCCAGCGGAGCAGACUGCCAAAAGCUCAUUUGAUCUCGUUUUCCAGCUUGAAUACAGAUUGUGAAAGCGGGGCCUCACAAUCCUUCUGACUUGUUGGGUUUGAAGCAGGAGGUAUCAGAUAAGUUACCACAGAGAUGCCAGGCUUGUGGCAGCCAAGCGUUCAUAGAGACGCCGCUUUUUGAUCCUUCAAUAUCAACCCUUCUAAUAAAUGUAAUGCAGAAUUUAGCAUUCGUUGGUUUGUUCACUUACUAAUAGGGAACGUGGGCAGGGUUUACACCAUUAUGAGACAGAUAGUUUACACCCUACUGUGUUGUUGAAAUGGUAAUCCUGCUCAGUACGAGAGGAACGGCAGGUUCAGACUUUGGUUUAUGUACUUGAUUGAGGAGUCAAUGGGGUGAAGCUAUUCUCUGUGGGAUGGUGAGGGGACGCCUCUAAAUCAGAAUCCCCUAUACACUGUAACAAUACCGCAGGACUGUGGAGCCUCGGGUGGCCUAGGAUAGCCAGACUCUGGGCUGGUGCAUAGAUCUGUUUGCCUCGGGACAAGUGUUUAGAAAGUGUGAGGAAUCUGAGGGCAUCCUCACUUCUUUGCCAAAAAUAUCCACU
rnacentral:rRNA from 1 species